GGCGCGGGGCCAGCUUCGCUUUGCCAGGGUCGCUGGCGGACGCGCGCCGCAGUCCGAGCCUCAGACGCGCGGGCGCGGGGGAAAGCGCAGGGGCCGCCUGGCUGGAGCAGCCAGAGGGGACAGCUUCGUCGAGAACCGAGGACCUCCUCGUCCAGCGUCCCGGGCGGUCGCGCCAGAGCAGAGCGGUGGGCGCGGUGCGAGAACGAAUCUUUGUGACAUUCUUCCUCAGCAUUUGUUACCCUCUUUGCUGAAGACUUUAACAAAAGCUGGUCUUAGCUGCUGGUAUUCUCCUGAGAAAAGGAUAGCUUCAGAAAUCAGAAAAGCAUCUGGGAGGCAUCAGGCCCAGUGCACCUUCUGAAGAGCAAUGCUAAGAAGACCUUUGGUUUGAAGAAUUAAAAGGAAGAACAACUUCUUCAGAUAAGAAGAGCUUCUUCAAAGUUUCCUGCAUGAAAAUUACUUAAACAUUGCACACAACGUGUCACAAAGUCUUUUGUGAAAGAAGAAAAGGAAAUUCAGUUUGUGGGUCUCAGCAGGAGUUAAGCUAAUGCAGCUUAAAAUAAUGCCGAAAAAGAAGCGCUUAUCUGCGGGCAGAGUGCCCCUGAUUCUCUUCCUGUGCCAGAUGAUUAGUGCACUGGAAGUACCUCUUGAUCCAAAACUUCUUGAAGACUUGGUACAACCUCCAACCAUCACCCAACAGUCUCCAAAAGAUUACAUUAUUGACCCUCGGGAGAAUAUUGUAAUCCAGUGUGAGGCCAAAGGGAAACCGCCCCCGAGCUUUUCCUGGACCCGUAAUGGAACUCAUUUUGACAUCGAUAAAGACCCUUUGGUCACCAUGAAGCCUGGCACAGGAACUCUCAUAAUUAAUAUCAUGAGUGAAGGGAAAGCCGAGACCUAUGAAGGAGUCUAUCAGUGUACAGCAAGGAACGAACGCGGAGCUGCCAUUUCCAAUAACAUUGUCGUCCGCCCAUCCCGAUCACCAUUGUGGACCAAAGAAAAACUUGAACCAAUCACACUUCAAAAUGGUCAAUCUUUAGUACUUCCCUGCAGACCCCCAAUUGGAUUACCACCACCUAUAAUAUUUUGGAUGGAUAAUUCCUUUCAAAGACUUCCACAAAGUGAGAGAGUUUCUCAAGGUCUGAAUGGGGACCUUUAUUUUUCCAAUGUCCUCCCAGAGGAUACCCGUGAAGACUAUAUCUGUUAUGCCAGAUUUAAUCAUACUCAAACCAUACAGCAGAAGCAACCUAUUUCUGUGAAGGUGAUUUCUGCUAAAUCAAAUAGAGAGAGGCCACCAACAUUUUUAACUCCAGAAGGCAAUGCAAGUAGCAAAGAGGAAUUAAGAGGAAAUGUGCUUUUACUGGAGUGCAUUGCGGAAGGACUGCCUACCCCACUUAUUUACUGGGCAAAAGAAGAUGGAAUUUUACCCACCAACAGGACAUCUUAUAAGAACUUUAAGAAAACCUUGCAGAUCACUCAUGUUUCAGAAGCAGACUCUGGAAAUUACCAAUGUAUAGCAAAAAAUGCAUUAGGAGCCAUCCACCAUACCAUUUCUGUUAGAGUUAAAGCGGCUCCAUACUGGAUCAUGGCCCCUCAAAAUCUUGUGCUGUCCCCAGGAGAGGAUGGGACCUUGAUCUGCAGAGCUAAUGGCAACCCCAAACCCAGAAUUAGCUGGUUAACAAAUGGAGUCCCAAUAGAAAUUGCCCCUGAUGACCCCAGCAGAAAAAUUGAUGGCGAUACCAUUAUUUUUUCAAAUGUUCAAGAAAGAUCAAGUGCAGUAUAUCAGUGCAAUGCCUCUAAUGAAUAUGGAUAUUUACUGGCAAACGCAUUUAUAAAUGUGCUGGCUGAGCCACCACGAAUCCUCACACCUGCAAACACACUCUACCAGGUCAUCGCAAACAGACCUGCUUUAUUAGACUGUGCCUUCUUCGGGUCUCCUCUCCCAACCAUUGAGUGGUUUAAAGGAGCUAAAGGAAGUGCUCUUCAUGAAGAUAUUUAUGUUUUACAUGAAAAUGGAACUUUGGAAAUUCCUGUGGCCCAAAAGGACAGCACGGGAACUUAUACGUGUGUUGCAAGGAAUAAAUUAGGGAUGGCAAAGAAUGACGUCCACUUAGAAAUCAAAGAUCCUACAUGGAUCAUUAAACAGCCCGAAUAUGCAGUUGUACAAAGAGGGGGCAUGGUGUCAUUUGAAUGCAAAGUGAAACAUGAUCACACCUUAGUCCUCACUGUCCUGUGGCUGAAGGACAAUGAGGAACUGCCCAAUGAUGAAAGGUUCACUGUUGACAAGGAUCAUCUGGUGGUAGCUGAUGUCAGUGACGAUGACAGUGGGACCUACACGUGUGUGGCCAACACCACUCUGGACAGCGUCUCCGCCAGCGCUGUGCUUAGCGUUGUUGCUCCUACUCCAACUCCAGUUCCCGUUUACGAUGUUCCAAAUCCUCCCUUUGACUUAGAACUGACAGAUCAACUUGACAAAAGUGUUCAGCUGUCAUGGACCCCAGGCGAUGACAACAAUAGCCCUAUUACAAAAUUCAUCAUCGAAUAUGAAGAUGCGAUGCACGAGCCAGGGCUGUGGCACCACCAAACCGAAGUUUCUGGAACACAGACCACAGCCCAGCUGAAGCUGUCUCCUUAUGUGAACUACUCCUUCCGUGUGACAGCCAUGAACAGCAUUGGGAAGAGCUUGCCCAGUGAGGCAUCUGAGCAGUAUAUGACGAAGGCCUCAGAACCAGAUAAAAACCCCACGGCUGUGGAAGGACUGGGAUCAGAGCCUGAUAAUUUGGUGAUUACUUGGAAGCCCUUGAAUGGUUUUGAAUCUAAUGGGCCAGGCCUUCAGUACAAAGUUAGCUGGCGCCAGAAAGAUGGUGAUGAUGAAUGGACGUCUGUGGUUGUGGCAAACGUGUCCAAAUAUAUUGUCUCAGGCACGCCAACCUUUGUUCCAUACCUGAUCAAAGUUCAGGCCCUGAAUGACGUGGGGUUUGCCCCCGAGCCAGCCGUAGUUAUGGGACAUUCUGGAGAAGACCUCCCAAUGGUGGCUCCCGGGAAUGUGCGGGUGAAUGUGGUGAACAGCACCUUAGCCGAAGUGCACUGGGACCCAGUACCUCUGAAAAGCAUCCGAGGACACCUACAAGGCUAUCGGAUUUACUACUGGAAGACACAGAAUUCACCUAAAAGAAACAGACGUCACAUUGAGAAAAAGAUCCUCACCUUCCAAGGCAGCAAGACGCAUGGCAUGUUGCCGGGGCUGGAGCCCUUUAGCCACUACACACUGAACGUCCGAGUGGUCAAUGGGAAGGGGGAGGGCCCAGCCAGCCCUGACAGAGUCUUUAAUACUCCAGAAGGAGUCCCCAGUGCUCCCUCGUCUUUGAAGAUUGUGAAUCCGACACUGGACUCUCUCACUUUGGAAUGGGAUCCACCGAGCCACCCGAAUGGCAUUUUGACAGAGUACACCUUAAAGUAUCAGCCAAUUAACAGCACACAUGAAUUAGGCCCUCUGGUAGAUUUGAAAAUUCCUGCCAAUAAGACGCAGUGGACCUUAAAAAAUUUAAAUUUCAGCACUCGAUAUAAGUUUUAUUUCUAUGCACAAACAUCAGCAGGAUCAGGAAGUCAGAUUACAGAGGAAGCAGUAACAACUGUGGAUGAAGGUAAGAUGGCUGGUAUUCUUCCACCUGAUGUAGGUGCAGGCAAAGUUCAAGCAGUAAAUCCCAGGAUCAGCAAUCUUACUGCUGCAGCUGCUGAGACCUAUGCCAAUAUCAGUUGGGAAUAUGAGGGACCAGAGCAUGUCAUCUUUUAUGUUGAAUAUGGUGUAGCAGGCAGCAAAGAAGAAUGGAGAAAAGAAAUUGUAAAUGGUUCUCGGAGCUUCUUUGGGUUAAAGGGUCUAAUGCCAGGAACAGCAUACAAAGUUCGAGUUGGUGCAGUGGGGGACUCUGGUUUUGUGAGUUCAGAGGCUGUGUUUGAGACGGGCCCAGCGAUGGCAAGCCGGCAGGUGGAUAUUGCAACUCAGGGCUGGUUCAUUGGUCUCAUGUGUGCUGUGGCUCUCCUUAUCUUAAUUUUGCUGAUUGUUUGCUUCAUCAGAAGAAACAAGGGUGGUAAAUAUCCAGUUAAAGAAAAGGAAGAUGCCCAUGCUGACCCUGAAAUCCAGCCUAUGAAGGAAGACGAUGGGACGUUUGGAGAAUACAGACAGUAGGAUCUGCAUCCUUACUAGCAUAUAGAAAAAUCAGAGAAACAAUGCAACCAACAGUUGACGCGGAAGACCACAAGCCUUUGAAAAAAGGAAGUCGAACUCCUUCAGACAGGACUGUGAAAAAAGAAGACAGUGAUGACAGCCUGGUUGACUAUGGAGAAGGGGUGAACGGCCAGUUCAAUGAGGAUGGUUCCUUUAUUGGACAAUACAGUGGUAAGAAAGAGAAAGAACCGGCUGAAGGAAACGAAAGCUCAGAGGCACCUUCUCCUGUCAAUGCCAUGAAUUCCUUUGUUUAAUUUUUAAGCUCUUUGCCAAUAUCCCAUUUCUCUAGAAUGUUUAUCCUAGGCACUUGUUCGUCAGCCCUCUCAUACUAUGAACAUAUGGGUAGAGAGUGUGUUUUCUGCUGUAUGUUAAUAUUAUGAGAAUACUUAGAGCAAAAACGUAACCCAGUCAAAUGAUAUGUUAAUGUGAACUGGAAUGCAAAGUGCAUACUUUUUCAUUCAAAAUGGGUAUUCUUGAUUUCCUCAGAACUGAGAAAAAAUAAUGCAACAUCACCAACAGAUCCUGUUCUUUCCUCUUCAGGAUACAGCUCAAUAUGAUGCAUGAAAAAUGCUCCACAUUUAAAGGACAUCCCCGUGUAUGUUAUGAAAACAUGGUUUGAUACUUUGUUUAUACUAUCCUCAGCUGAACCCCUAAAUAUGAAUUCCGUUUUCAUUGUCAGGAGUGUUACUGUAGUAUUCUCUAGGACUUCAAUGUCUUUGUGGACAUUGUUGUGAAAUUGGUGACUCUAUGUCUAGCUGUCGUUAGUCUUUUUGGGAGACUGUUAGGAACAGUAUGUACAGUAUAUAUUUGCUAAAUGAGUUCAUUAUGACAGUCGCAUUGCUGAUGCUUACUGAGAACUAUUACCUGCUCUUGGCUCCUGUUACUCCAUAGGCUUCUUAAUCGUCCAGGCAUUACAGCAGCACAGUGUUCUACUUUGUACAUCCUUUCUGUGUUCCGUUGUUUUUAGGCAUAAACAAUGUGUAUUGCAAUGCAUUUCGGCAUUUGUGCCAUACUGAAAGAAUCAAAAACAAGUCAUUCAAAUUAAAUUUCAAACAUUACUCCAGAGGACACAGGGCAAGACACAUACAGUGCCUUCAGACAUUAAGCAUUCCAUAACGUACUGCAUUCUGUAUUAGCUGCUGCGGUCCCUUCUGAGUCCUAGAUUACUGUCAUUGUCUAAAAGUAACUUUUAAAAAGCAGAGUUCAUGAAAACUGCAAUGCUGGGAAAAGAAGGAAACAUGAAAAAUAAAAAUAAUGAGACAGUUUAUUUGAAAUAGCAUUUCCUCAUAAGCAUAAAAAGAAAAGCUUUGUCACCAGCUGAAGCACAUAAUGAUUUUGUGGUCCUUUAUGGCUUCUGCUGCAUUCAGUAAGAAAGGUGUCUACAUGCUAGAAAAUUAAUUUUAAAAAUUAAGUUAUUCUAACGCCAAAAGCAUACAAUAGCAUGCCAACAGUAAUAUAUUAUUCUCCAAGACUUUACCUAUGUGAGUUCAAAACUCUGCAGCAUUAAGCAGUGUGUAUGCAAAUUGCUACAGACACAUUUCAGAAUCUAAGAAAUCUGACAAGUGCUUAAAAGGCCAAUGGUCCAAGGGAUUACAUCUGCAGUUUAAAAAGUAAGUGUAUCUUCUAUCAUAUUCAUAAACAAUAUCUAUCAAAUGGGUUGCCUCCAAAUAUGAAAAUCUAUAACAACCUAUGGUUGAAGGAAUGCUCAGUUUCAUUUGCCAAUAAAUUGGUUUCUCAUAACUUGCAUCAAGUUUAAUUUUAAGUAAAGCUUUUUAUAUGUAGAUAUUUUGUUGAAUUUGUAAAUACACUUAAAGUGUAGAUGCUAUAUGCUUAUAGGUGUUACAUACAAAUAAAACUGCAAUGAUUAUGUUGUACUGUAUAAGAAGUAAGCUAAUUGAUGCAGUGAAUGGGAUUGGAAAGCAUCUACUUAAAUAACUGUUGGGUUCCCCUCUCCCCCUGCCUUUUUUGCUGUGAAACUGAAAUAGUGAAUUUUUCUACAUAUCGACAGCAGAUUUCUAGAUGAAAUCGUCAGAGCUUUGCCUAUGGGGCACAGUAGGCCUAGUCACUGGGCGUCUUCGAUAUAUGUAGGUGAAGCAUAGUUUAAAGUGAUCCCAGGUAAAGAUGGCCCUAAUACUUUCAUGUCUCUAUAUUUACUUUUCACAGAUCACCUUGUCUACUGAAAAUACAAAAAGACAAAACAGUUUGCUUUGGCAUCAGAGAGCACAAAGAUUAAAAGUUACUUUAAAUUUGCCAAUAUUUUGGGAGAACAAUAAAAAUACAGUUUUUCCUCUUCCAGACUGGUAGAUACUAAAUUUAUCUGUGCAUGAAAGGGUCACUUCUGUAAUAGUGCAACAGAUUUUGUAUUAAAAAUUAAAUGUGGUUUUAAAAGUUCCUCUCUCUUUUGUAAUUUAUCAUGUUCCCAGUGGAGUGUGAAUGUCCAAGUAAUGGUGUAUGUACGGUACAGGCAAAUGUGACUGGAUUUCCCUCAAAAAAAAGUAACUAUUAAACAGUCUUGAUCUCUU